rnacentral:rRNA from 1 species
GACGAACGCUGGCGGCGUGCCUAAUACAUGCAAGUCGAACGCAGUGGGGACGGGUGAGUAACACGUGGGUAACCUCCCAUCAGAGGGGAUAACACUUGGAAACAGGUGCUAAACCGAUACUGAUGGAUGGACCCGCGGUGCAUUAGCUAGUAGGUGGGGUAAAGGCUCACCUAGGCGACGAUCUCUAGCUGGUCUGAGAGGAGGAUCGGCCACCCUGGGACUUAGAAACGGCCCAGACUCCUACGGGAGGCAGCAGUAGGGAAUAUUGCACAAUGGACGCAAGCCUGAUCGAGCCAUGCCGCGUGAGUGAAGAAGGCCUUAGGGUUGUAAAGUGCUUUCAGCAGAGAGGCGUUACCCACCGAGGAAGCACCGGCUAACUCCGUGCCAGCCGCCGCGGUAAUAC